UUUUGCAUAACUGAUGCCAAACAUAUGGAUAGAGAGAGGGGGCCCAGCCCAGCAAGGAGGGUGUGUGGUAUGGGCUGAGUGGCAGCUCAUCAGUGAUGCUUGAAAAUGUAGAAAAGAGACAACUUUUAAAACUAAACUUGUGGUGCCCAGAACUGGACUCCUGAGGUGAAUGGCCAUGAGACCAAGACCCCUCUGUUCUGAAUGUAGUCAUUAAAGC
rnacentral:lncRNA from 1 species